AGGGAAAUAGCUCAGUGGUAGAGCACAUGCUUAGCAUGCAUGAGGUCCUGGGUUCAACCACCAGUACCUCCA
rnacentral:tRNA from 1 species